GACGUAGGGGGCAAGCGUUGUCCGGAAUUAUUGGGCGUAAAGAGCUCGUAGGCGGUUGCGUAAGUCGGAUGUGAAAACUUAGGGCUCAACCCAAAGACGCCAUCCGAUACUGCGCUGACUUGAAUCCGGUAGGGGAGUGUGGAAUUCCUGGUGUAGCGGUGAAAUGCGCAGAUAUCAGGAGGAACACCUAUGGCGAAGGCAGCACUCUGGGCCGGUAUUGACGCUGAGGAGCGAAAGCAUGGGUAGCAAA
rnacentral:rRNA from 1 species